GAUGAACGCUGGCGGCGUGCCUAAUACAUGCAAGUCGAGCGAACGGACGAGAAGCUUGCUUCUCUGAUGUUAGCGGCGGACGGGUGAGUAACACGUGGAUAACCUACCUAUAAGACUGGGAUAACUUCGGGAAACCGGAGCUAAUACCGGAUGAUAUUUUGAACCGCAUGGUUCAAAAGUGAAAGACGGUCUUGCUGUCACUUAUAGAUGGAUCCGCGCUGCAUUAGCUAGUUGGUAAGGUAACGGCUUACCAAGGCAACGAUGCAUAGCCGACCUGAGAGGGUGACCGGCCACACUGGAACUGAGACACGGUCCAGACUCCUACGGGAGGCAGCAGUAGGGAAUCUUCCGCAAUGGGCGAAAGCCUGACGGAGCGACGCCGCGUGAGUGAUGAAGGUCUUCGGAUCGUAAAACUCUGUUAUUAGGGAAGAACAUAUGUGUAAGUAACUGUGCACAUCUUGACGGUACCUAAUCAGAAAGCCACGGCUAACUACGUG
rnacentral:rRNA from 1 species